GUGAUAGUGGGCAUUUUCGUCCUCUCGUUUUAUUCUCUCACCGUUCUUCUUCCGCUUACCGAGCACCGAAGGCGAAGCGCCCUGUAGAGGAACGACGAAGUCGCAGUUGGCGGAGGAUGAAAACAAGGCUUCCUGCAAGUUUCAUUGCGGAGAUAUUGAGGCAUGCACCUGCUCACUUUCUAAGGCUUUUUGAGGAUAUAAAUUCAAGUGUCUGAUUAUAUGGGUGAUAAUUUGCAACAAUUGUGUUGCCAUUUUUCUAUCCUUUAUUGAUUGAUUCUUGUCUUUUAAUUUCAGCUCAGACUAGUCUUGACUACCAUAAACUUUCAUUGUAUUUAAUUCACAUUUACAAGCUUGCUAACACUUGUACAUUCAUGCAUCUGUGUGUACAUAUACAAAUAUGUUGCCAGCACAUAUGCAUACUUGUUGGUAUCUGUACAUACAUAUGUUCACGAUACAUCCAUAUGCAAGUUUCAUGUACAUGCAUAUAAGUGAAUGAUUUCUUGAAAGAAUUAUUUUCUCUCCAUCAGUUGAAAGUGAUGUCAAGUUUUAUUUCUUCAAAA